CGUGCAAGGACAAGUAGUAGCUAAAUGAGAAAAUAAAAAAAUACAUACAUGUGACAGUUGAAUAUAGAAUUGACAAAUGUACUAUUGCACUCUUAACAGUUUAAAAUGGUAUCACUACUUUUAUAAUUUGAAACAAUUUGAAUAUAGAAGUGACAAAUGUACUAUUGCAAUUUUAAAAGUUUGAAAUGCUAUGUUGAUUAUUUUUGACACUUCGAAAGCUAGAAAUAUAAUCGUGUCAAUCAGGAUCUGAAAAGUCUUUACAGAUAAUAAAUGUCAAUUUUAUCAAGCGAUUGUGUUAAGAUUUUCUUGACAUCAAUGAGAAAGAUUUUAUUGUGUUGUGUUGAAAAAGAUGAAUCAAUAUUUUAACUCAAAUUCGUAACAGAAUGGGAGGGAGAGACUGAGCAGAAAUUGCAAUUGAUUAAUUGAAUAAACAAUUACAAAAUGUUACCUUUAAUAAGGACAAUUUCAAAACUUUAAACCAACCGAGUUUUGGGAUUACAAAGUUAAUCUACUCCUAUGAAAUGUAAGUGCAGUGCAUAAAAGGAAAGUACUGAAAUUUAAAAAUAAAUGAAAUUGAUAAAGACAUAGAGUCUGAAUUUAGUCGGGGAUUCCAAAUGUAACCAUGAAUGACUAUUUAUAGGAAAAAACUAAAAGAAAAAACUUCCUAAUAAUUACCAUAAUCUUCCAUCUUGAUUCUUGUAUUGACAUAUCUCCAUUUUAUGUGCCAUGAUGAUCUUUCAUCUCCUCCAUUUUAUACUUCAUGAUCUUCUAUUUCAUCUAUCAACUUCCCUACAUACACUUUAUAUUUCCACAACUUCCUUCAACCUCCAACUGUGUAAGAGCAUGCCAUGUGCCCUACUCAUAUUAAAAAAUAAAAAAUAAAAAUAAAUAUUAUUAUUCUUAUUAUUUAUGGUGCCAACAGUAUCACUUCUUUUGUAAUUUGAAAAAAAAUAAAUUUUUGUUUGGUCUAGGAGCGUCAUGUGGCGGUUUUCCUCACCAAUUACAAAUUAUCAUGUCCCUUCAUAUUCUCCAAUCACCUAAUACAAAAUCGUAAAUUGCACAUCUUUCACCAAUUACAAUAUUGUUGGGGCACCACAUGCCGGUAUCCAGGACUAAUCAAUAACUUCUCAUAAUUUGAAACACUUUGUCAUAGAGUGACACCUAUUUGCCCAAGAAAAAAGUAAUAAUGCUAUUGUACUUAAAAAUGUUGGAAUUUGACAAUAUUAUUUUAGGAUAAUUCUAUUUGCACCACAAACUCUUUCAGUACACACCAAUUACUCAUUGCAUACUACACCUAAUUUUGAUUUUCUAUUUUUCACUCAAUACACACCAUAAAUUUUCAAAUAUUUCCAAAAUAUCCCAAUCUUCUCUAAUCACAACCCUGAUUCUAACUCUAACCCUAACCUUAACCCUAGCUCCACCUCACAAUCACUGCCAUCAACCACCACCAUUGGUCCUCUCAUCUCCUUCUGCCAGCAUCACCCUUGGACCGACACCACCCAUUCCUUAGUUAUCUUCGAAAAAGAUAUAUAUUUAAUUUUUUUUUGUUUUUUAUAGGAAAUAAAUUAAUGUCCAUCCAGGGGACAAAUAGUAGCUAUGUGAGAAAAUAAAAGAAAUACAUACAUGUGACGUUUGAAUAUGAAAGUGACAAAUGUGCUAUUCCAAUCUUAAAAGUUUGAAACGGUAUCGUUACUUUUAUAAUUUGGAACACUUUGAAUAUGGAAGUGACAAAUGUACUAUUGCUGUAAUAACCCGACCCUCUCAUGUGCUCAAAUUCCAUCAUUAUAUGUAUGGCUAUAUGUGUGUUUAUAUGUUUGAUGUGAGAUUCCAUGUUUGAAUGAGUGAAUUAUUAGUUUAUAAAUUUAUAUUUGUCGGUUAUGAGAAAAUCUGUUGAAAUUGUGACUUUUGGACGGGAAAUUGGAAACCUUAUAGGCGCAGUAAACCGAAACUAACUUUACAGUUAUGAUUAGUAUGAUUUUUAGGGCAUUGUAUGAAGUUUUGUAAAAAUUUGAUUCGUAACAAAUUAAUUGGAAUUAUAUAGGCUCAAGUCUUAAUUAAACUUAAUUAGCCUCAAGACUCAAGUCUUGAUAGAUAUAAGGGUCACUUAUAUGAGCCUUAGAUGACUUAGUCUCAACAAAGCCCUGAAAAUAUCUCCUGGAAAGCUUCUAGAGGAGAGAAGAAGAGAAAAGAGAGAGAGAGAGGAAGAGGAGAUCAACCAAGAGUUGGAGAUUGAAGAUUUUGGAAGGGGAUUUAAGGAAUAAAGUUCAAGGUAUGUGUAAAGCACUUAAACUAUUCUAAAACUAUCUUCAAUUACUUAGCAUUAAGCCUUAAAAUGGAGUCUUUAUAUCUUGCUUGAGUAAAUAUCCAUGGAGAUCAUCAAGAUUCAUUGUAUUUGUUUGAUUUGAGAGUUGAUUCUUGCAUUUUGAGUUUGUCUUGAGUUAGCUUAAAAGGAAUCACUUUCUAAUCUUUAGUUCUUUCAUGCUUUGGACUCACAUAUGUAUAUAUGUUUGUAUAUAUAUUGAUGGACCAUGAAAAGAUGAACAAAAUGAAAGAAGUAUGGUGUAUUGAGUUGUAUAUGUCCCAAUAAAAUGGGUUAUGAUUUAAUUAAGUUUGGGAUUCAUGUUUAUUAGAUUCAUAUGUCAUGAUGUUUAAGUGCAUUUGCUUAUGUUAGACCAUAGAAAGGCAUUUGGAAAGUUUGAUUUUGAUGAAUGUUUGGACUGCUCAAACAAAGCCCAGAACCGCAUGCACGGGGCUCAUGGCCGCAUGUGCGGGGCUCACAGCCGCAAAUGCAGAAAACAACGGACGCAAGUGGAGCAUUCUGAAAUAAAAGCAAGUACCUCUCCGCACGUGCGGUGGGGGACUUCUGCAUGUGAGGCUAGUAGGGAAAUUUUCUAUCAACUUCUUUUACUUUUUUUAACCCUUUGAAUUUAUUAAUGUGUAUAUUUGAUCCUUCUGAAAUACUUAAAAAUGAAUUAGAAUUCAACGAAUCAGACAAAUGAGUAAAGAGAAAAGCCAAGGCAAAGUGACUUACUCACCAGUUGCGUGUUGUGUGUAGGUCACGUACAGGAAGGGACCGUUGUUCAACCACAUCACAGUGAUCAGCUCAGAGGACAACCUUAGGUCAGCUCGAGGAGCCUUUUGUUGGACCUGUUUUGUCGAGCCUCCCAAAGUGGAGCCUUUUGUUUUUACGAGGAUGGAUGAUUCAAAGGAUUCUACCUCCACACGGUUGGAUAGGUUGGAAAUGAUGAUUAUGCAAAUGGUAGAAACUAUGAGGCAACAAAAGCAGCAGCAACAACAACCACUGCUGCCACCAGUGCCUGUACCAUCACCAGUGGUGCAAGACCAUCAAGCCGAGGACCGAACAAUUACACUUACGAAAGACUUCAAGAUGAUGAAACUGCCUUUGUUUAAGGAUGGAAUUGAUCCAAUGAAAGCAGAGACGUGGGUGUUGGGCAUAGAGAAGUUUUUCAAGGUCUUUCCAUGCACCGAAGGCCAGAAAGUACAACUUGCCGCCUUCACUCUUGAAGAUGAAGCACGUAGAUGGUGGAUGCUCACGAGAAUUGAACAUCAAGGGUUGACAUGGGCUUGAUUUUUGGAGCUUUUUUAAGACAAGUAUUUCCUGCAGUGUAUGUGAGAUAAGAAAGUGACGGAGUUUGAAACUUUGAGACAAGGGAACAAGGCCGUUGCCAAGUAUGAAACCCGAUUUGCAGAAUUAGCCCGUUUCGCACCACAUUUGGUGGAUACGGACUACAAGAAAGCAAGAAAAUUUGAAGGAGGGCUACGGAAUGCCAUUCUCGACUGGUUUAAUGUUUUAAAAUUGCCGAUGUAUGUAGAUGUGUUGGAAAGAGCAAUCAUGGCUGAAGGUAAUAUCGUAACUCAAAAUUGGAUUUUCGAGUGGAAAGAGAAGAGGCAGAAUACUCAAGCACCAAGGGGAUCCAUGGCACCACCGAAUAAGAAACCGAAUUUGGGAACCUCUUGUACUUCUGCCUCUACAUGUGACUCAGCAGCAGUUUGUCUGGAAUGUGGAAAGAGACACCGUGGGACUUGUUACAGGGUAACUGGGGCAUGUUUCAAGUAUGGAAAGAUGGGUCACUUAGAAAGGGAUUGCCCAUAGAGAGACCGACAAAAUGGGAACAGAACUACUACCAGUUCAGCCGGCUCAACUCCAGCUCCGACCACAAAGACAGCUGUAAAACCCACCAAUACUAAAGGAUGCCAGAUAAGGAAGAGUGUUUUCCCUUAUUCCUGGUGACAUGCAAAAUACUGAGGCUGUGGUGUCAGGUCACGUACUGGAAGGGACCGUUGUUCAACCACAUCACAGUGAUCAGCUCGGAGGACAACCUUAGGUCAGCUCCAGGAGCCUUUUGUUGGACCUGUUUUGUCAAGCCUCCCAAAGUGGAGCCUUUUGUUUUUGUGGGGUUCCUAUUUAUGUUGUAUGUUUUUAAGUCGUUAAUGACUUGUUACAUAUACAUUGUCAACAUGUAAAUUUUGGGUUGCUACCUUUUUGUAUAGACUUACAUAACAUGGACUUGUUGGUAUAUGAACGGUGUUUGUAAAUUUUCUAUAUAUGGUAAGAUGUACUAAGAUCCUGGCA